rnacentral:lncRNA from 1 species
CAUUUCAGGAUGCCUGCUUAUGAAGAUAGAGUUGUAAUUGGAUAUUAAUGGGAAGUUUGUUUGCAGAUGUUCUUUCAAUUUUUAUGGCGGCCAUGAAGGUUUCUAAGCCAGCUCUGUUCGGGUGUGGAAGGGACAAGCGAUUACGUAUAAAUUGUGAUGCGACGUUGGCAAAUAAAACACUGGUUGAUGGGUGGUUAAAGCUCUGCCAUGACUGUGAUGUGUCGAUGGGAGAAGUGUCGUUGUUGCUGAUAUUAGAUGGACGCAUGGGUUUGGUGGGGUUGCAGUACUGUUGGGUGCUGUUAGCUGUUUUCUCGAAGGUGUUUCUUUUCCCUGCAUGAUUAAUCUACGAAGUUACCUUCCUUUGAAUUUUGUUUUUUCCAUGUGUUGCAUUCAAUUUUUCUUUUUUCUUUCUCUU